rnacentral:rRNA from 1 species
AUCAACUAUGCUAGCUCUCUGCAACUCUCUGGUUACCCACUGAAGCUAAGCAGGGCUGUGCCCAGUCAGUACCUGGAUGGACCACAUGGGAAAGCUAGGUUGCUGUCGAAA